rnacentral:rRNA from 1 species
UACGAAGGGGGCUAGCGUUGUUCGGAUUUACUGGGCGUAAAGCGCACGUAGGCGGAUCGUUAAGUCGGGGGUGAAAUCCUGGAGCUCAACUCCAGAAUUGCCUUCGAUACUGUUUGGCUUGAGACCGGAAGAGGUGAGUGGAACUGCGAGUGUAGAGGUGAAAUUCGUAGAUAUUCGCAAGAACACCAGUGGCGAAGGCGGCUCACUGGUCCGGUUCUGACGCUGAGGCGCGAAAGCGUGGGGAGCAAACAGG